CAUGGCGGCCUCACCUCCCUCUUCUUCCGGCCACCCUCCAACCGCCACCCCCUCCCCUCCCCUCCCCUCCCCUCCCGGUGGCAGCCCACAUCCUAGUCGGACUGUCGUUCCUGAGCACGCCCGUAAGCCCAUUGUCUCUCUUGCUACCAUGGUGCGCCCCCGCUUGACCGUCGCCAUCGGCGCAUUGGCAGGUGGGAACGGGGGCAAGGUUUCCACGGUCGAUGCGUGCCCAAGGCGCUUGCCCCCGACAUGACCUAGCGCACGCUCUUGUGAUGUCGUAUGGCCGCAUCGCUAAGGUCGUCAACGCCUAUUGAUUUGAUUUUAUAAGUUGUCUUUCUAGAGUUUUGAUUUUGGUUUGGAUUUGGAUGGCUGUGGGGAUUUUGAUUCAGUCUCGGUUUGGUCCCUUUUCCUAGCGCCUCGCUUGCUGAUUGAUUUGGGUGACCUGAGGAAAUCUAUCUCAUCUAUUCGAUUUUGGAUCGAGAUGGUUAGAGAGGGGGCCAGACGAAAGUUUGAUCCAGACGAAAAUUUAGGCUUGUCGCUCCACGAGCAUGUGCGUCGUCGCAUCGCCACCUCGCAUCCUCCGCCUGCUCUUCUUCUAACUGUCAAUGACCUCCACCGCCUGCGACGCCCCGCCAGAGCUCUGCACGACACCCCCGCAUGCGCCCUCCGCCGGCCGCGACGUGGCC
rnacentral:lncRNA from 1 species